CUUCGUCGAGAUCUUUUCAAAAAGGAGUACAUAAAAUGUGAGAUGAAACCUGGAGAAGCUUUGGAUGAUUAUCUUGGUAGAUUUAAUAAGAUUUUGAGUGAUCUUUGAUAUGUUGAUUUUGCUUAGG
rnacentral:miRNA from 1 species